rnacentral:rRNA from 1 species
UUGCGGGAGGAGCAGGGCCCAAUGAAAUCGGCAUUUUGAACGCACAUUGCGGUCCUCGGAUCCAAUUCCCGGACCACACCUAGCGGAGGGUCGU